rnacentral:rRNA from 1 species
AAUCAACGCUGGCGGCGUGCCUAACACAUGCAAGUCGAACGCGAAAGGGGGCUUCGGCUCCUAAGUAGAGUGGCGUCCGGGUGAGUAACACGUAGGUAAUCUGCCUUCGGGUGGGGAAUAACCAGUCGAAAGAUUGGCUAAUACCGCAUAAUGCAGCGGCACCUAAUGGUGAUUAGUUGUUAAAGCGGGGGAUCGUAAGACCUCGCGCCUGAAGAGGAGCCUGCGGCAGAUUAGCUAGUUGGUGAGGUAAUGGCUCACCAAGGCUUCGAUCUGUAGCUGGUCUGAGAGGACGGCCAGCCACACUGGCACUGGCACACGGGCCAGACUCCUACGGGAGGCAGCAGUGGGGAAUUUUGGGCAAUGGGCGAAAGCCUGACCCAGCAACGCCGCGUGAGGGAGGAAAUCCUUCGGAUGUAAACCUCACAAGCAAGGGAAGAGAGCUCAGGGCCGAAUAAGCUUUGAGUCCGACGGUACCUUGCGUAAGCCACGGCUAACUACGUGCC